rnacentral:rRNA from 1 species
CCCUUCGGGGUGGGAUUACAAAAGAUAACAGAUCUUUCAUGAUCAUGUGAUGGGUGGUGCAUGGCCGUUCUUAGUUCGUGGAGUGAUCUGUCUGCUUAAUUGCGUUUCAAAUUUUAUAUUUGUUAACAUGCGAGUCUUCAAUGACGGCCGCUCCACCUUAUAGACAUUAUAUGAUAUGCACAUUUGUGUAUUUGAUUAUAACUUGUCUGGAGUCUGGCUCGAUUUUUUUGACUCAAUUGAACGCAACGGACGUGAUUGCAAGUCCUUGUUGAACAAAUUAUAUAUAUACUACUUCAUCAUUAGUAUAUAUAGUUCGCUUCUCAUGUCGUAGCAGUCAAACGGGCGGGCGUCUUAAUUGGCGCGGUCACGAGGCUUAAUAUGCUGCGGCAGGGAAAACUUGGGCGACCGCUGUAAUACUUCUCUCUUAAACCAGAGGAAGAUUGCGGCAAUAACAGGUCUGUGAUGCCCUCAAUGUCCCGGGCCGCACACGUGCUACAUUGAUUA